UCUACUGGGAAAGUAUAUGUUUGGGUGGAAGAGCACGAGGAGACGGGCUUUGCUCGUCGGUACGACAGAUAUCCUAACCUGAAGAGUCGCCAACUUUGACAAUUAAUAUCUCGCUUUACGGGACAGAGCGACGAUUUUCUCUGCCAGAUUCUUUCGUUUUGGACGAAAACGCGUCGAUUGAGUAUAAAUUCAUCGAUAUUUGAGGUGAUGCCCGUAUUCUUAAUAAUUACCUAUAAAAUGUUUUGGGAUAAAAAUUUGAAGGAUCACAAUCGAAUGAUUAUCGUAAAUUCUGCAUAUAUAAAUGCAAUUUCUGAAGAAUUUUUACACGAUAUUUUGGCUUUCACUUUAACAAGUGCAUAUACUAAUGAGAGGAAACGCAACAUUAAAGAUAGAUUUUGUUAUUUAAUUCACGAGGAAUUUGGACGACUUCGACGCAGCCGUGUAUAUAGUUAUAGCGUUUAUUUUAAAGAGAUGUUGGAUUUAAAUUUUAAUCCAAUAAAAAAAUCUUAAAAUUAAAUGGUAAUUAUACGAUUCC